rnacentral:lncRNA from 1 species
CGCUGCUCCCGGCCUCCCCUCGCUCUGAGGCUCGGGGUCCCCAGCUCCGCGUAAACUGCACGAUUUCGCCCUCUGCUCAGCUCCCCUCUGCCCCCUCUUUCCAAGAGAGACUUCCAGAUCCCACAUUUUCUUGACUGAUUUUUAAGCAUUUCUUCGUUUAUAGCUGUCUGUUUGCAUUCUGAUUGGGAACACUGGGAUCAUUUUCAUCAUGCCGACAGUGGUGGUAAUGGAUGUAUCCCUUUCCAUGACCCGACCUGUGUCUAUUGAGGGGUCCGAGGAAUACCAGCGAAGCACUAAGUAAUAUGGAUGAUUAUGACAAAACCUGCUUGGAGUCUGCAUUAGUUGGUGUUUGCAAUAUCGUUCAGCAAGAAUGGGGUGGUGCAAUUCCUUGCCAGGUUGUCCUGGUGACAGACGGCUGUCUUGGCAUUGGUAGAGGGUCACUGCGACAUUCCCUAGCCACUCAAAAUCAACGAAGUGA